ACAACAACCCACCCACCACAUACAGGCUUGCACUCUGAGGACAGCAUGAAACUACGGGAUUUCACAUGAUUUAGUGAAUUAUACACUCGUACUUGGCUGUGGAUUUUUCAGUGAAGGACAAUAAAGAACUGAGAUACACAGAACGAGAGAGAGAGUUCCUUCUUCCAGCGAAUUUAAGUGAAAAAAACAGCAAAUGGACAGACCUAGGUGACAAGAAAUUUAUUUACUAGGUUCAGGAUUCUAAUAUCAACAAGUAAUUGUUACAGUCAGAGACUAGUGACAUAGUGUUAGGAUUAUAGUGAGAAGGGGGGAUACUGAAUAUAGGUUUAAAAAUAGAACUCUGAGACAUGAUGUUUUUCUGUAAAGAAAAAACCUAAAACCAUUCAGCAAUUCUUACGCAAUUUUAGAAAGACAUUUGUUUAGGAAUUACUUUAUGCCUGCACCUUGAAAAGAGAGGUUUUAAACUUCAAGAUGCACAAGUAACAACAGAAUACAAAACAACAGAAAGACUAAAGUGAAUGCCCAGGAUGAGACAGGCCUUAAUUACAAUCUUGCAUGCCAUCUGUACUUGAAAGCUUGAAAAACCAGCUGAUAGAUCUCCAUAUUAAAGCUGCAUACAGAAGAUUAGCUGACUACUUUUAAUUGGACAGG